AGAGUUUGAUCCUGGCUCAGGACGAACGCUGGCGGCGUGCCUAACACAUGCAAGUCGAACGGGGUGAGGCCCUUCGGGACCCUACCUAGUGGCGAACGGGUGAGUAACGCGUGAGGAACCUGCCUUUCAGUGGGGGACAACAGUUGGAAACGACUGCUAAUACCGCAUGAAGCUUUUGGGAGACAUCUCCUGGAAGCCAAAGCUUAAUGUGCUGAAAGAUGGCCUCGCGUCUGAUUAGCUAGUUGGUGGGGUAACGGCCCACCAAGGCGACGAUCAGUAGCCGGUCUGAGAGGAUGAACGGCCACAUUGGGACUGGGAUACGGCCCAGACUCCUACGGGAGGCGGCAGUGGGGAAUAUUGGGCAAUGGGCGAAAGCCUGACCCAGCAACGCCGCGUGAAGGAAGAAGGCCUUCGGGUUGUAAACUUCUUUUACCAGGGACGAAGGACGUGACGGUACCUGGAGAAAAAGCAACGGCUAACUACGUGCCAGCAGCCGCGGUAAUACGUAGGUUGCAAGCGUUGUCCGGAUUUACUGGGUGUAAAGGGCGUGUAGGCGGAGAUGCAAGUUAGGAGUGAAAUCUAUGGGCUCAACCCAUAAACUGCUUCUAAAACUGUAUCCCUUGAGUAUCGGAGAGGCAAGCGGAAUUCCUAGUGUAGCGGUGAAAUGCGUAGAUAUUAGGAGGAACACCAGUGGCGAAGGCGGCUUGCUGGACGAUAACUGACACUGAGGCACGAAAGCGUGGGGAGCAGACAGGAUUAGAUACCCUGGUAGUCCACGCCGUAAACGAUGAGUACUAGCUGUCGGAGGUUACCCCCUUCGGUGGCGCAGCUAACGCAUUAAGUACUCCGCCUGGGAAGUACGCUCGCAAGAGUGAAACUCAAAGGAAUUGACGGGGACCCGCACAAGUAGCGGAGCAUGUGGUUUAAUUCGAAGCAACGCGAAGAACCUUACCUAAGCUUGACGUCCUUUUGACCGAUGCCUAAUCGCAUCUUUCCCUUCGGGGACAGAAGUGACAGGUGGUGCAUGGUUGUCGUCAGCUCGUGUCGUGAGAUGUUGGGUUAAGUCCCGCAACGAGCGCAACCCUUGCCUUUAGUUGCCAGCAUUAAGUUGGGCACUCUAGAGGGACUGCCAGGGAUAACCUGGAGGAAGGUGGGGAUGACGUCAAAUCAUCAUGCCCCUUAUGCUUAGGGCUACACACGUGCUACAAUGGGUGGUACAGAGGGCAGCCAAGUCGUGAGGCGGAGCUAAUCCCUUAAAGCCAUUCUCAGUUCGGAUUGUAGGCUGAAACUCGCCUACAUGAAGCUGGAGUUACUAGUAAUCGCAGAUCAGAAUGCUGCGGUGAAUGCGUUCCCGGGUCUUGUACACACCGCCCGUCACACCACGGGAGUUGGGGGCGCCCGAAGCCGGAUUGCUAACCUUUUGGAAGCGUCCGUCGAAGGUGAAAUCAAUAACUGGGGUGAAGUCGUAACAAGGUA
rnacentral:rRNA from 1 species